CAGUCCAUGGGAUUGAUUUAUUGCAGUUCUGAAAUUUUACCUUAGUCUAUCAUCUCAGGGGGCCAUCAUUAAAAUCAUUCCUUAAUGUAAUGGUAUAAAUGGGUUCUCCAAUAUUUUAAGGUUUUCUCUGAGGAAGGACUUUCCUGAAGUCUUUGAUGUUUUAUAAUCAGAAGUCUUUUUGAUCUUGCUUGGUUAUACCAAUUUUGCAUAAUAAUCCCCUGCCAAUAAUAAUUCUGUCAUAUGAAAUUGCUCUGCUUUUUGCUUGAUGGUCAUCAAAGAAUAUUUGUUUCAGUCAAAUUAAUUGCCUGUGGUAUAAAUGCAACCAAGGGAUUAAUUUCUAUAAGAAGUUUAAAAGCUGGCUCACUAUUUAAAUUUCAUGAAUCUAUUGGGUUAAAUUUGUUUAAGCCUUUAUUCCCAACCUUGGGGGAGAAAAAAUGUCAUAUCACUUUUCUAAAUUAUCAUUAAUAUGUACCAGAGUUUGGAGAUAACAAAAUAAGAAGUCCAGAUGACUACAGAGAAUAGAAAUGUGUUUGAUUUUCAAGUAAGCUAUUGAUACUUGAGUUGUGCAAUAAAUGAAAUACUUCUGUCUAUGAACCUGAAGAACAUUGACUGAGGAGUCAGAGUUCUGAAUCUCUAUGAGAUCAGUAAUCAGAAGCAUUGUUCUGUGAAAGAGGAUGGAUGGAUGGAUGGUGGAGAAAAAUGGGUUUCAAGCCAGACCCCUGUGUCUUGGUUUACUAAUCUGUUUAUAGGAUUACUGCCUGUGAAGGUUUCAGAUGGGCCAGAUGGCUGCUUCCCAUGGACUGCCCCUGUUCUGCCCUGGCUCUGCUGGGUGUCACUGUCUCUCAUCAGCUACUCUGCACUGCCACUCCUCCUGGCUGCUCUGUCACUGGUUUUCUUGGGCCUUCACUGCCGUUGCUCUCGGGAAGUGCUAGGACUCUGCUGGUACGAAGGCUUUUUGGGAAGCACACUUGCUCCAGUUACAGGACUGUAUCUUUUAAGAAAGAGAGAAGAUGCUUCACUUGCAUUUGAUAUUGAUAACUUUCCAGAUUUUUCAAACUGUUAUCAUAUGGAUCUUGAGGACACUUGAGACCUGAUUACCAUGGAUGAAAGGCAAGGAGACAUUUUAUGAAAUGAAACUUUAACCCAAAAUAGAUUUUUUUUAAUCAAGUGAAAUUAAAGCAUAAAUAACUCCUUGGUGCCAUUUUGGUAAAGGGGAUAAAGAAGAUAUACCAAGUAAGUAACACCUUGGGCUUGAAGUCAUCCAUGUUACUUUAGUGGGUAGGAAAUAAUCGUCACAAGGGCUAAAAGAAUACACUUAAGGUACAGUACACUUUUGCAUUACAGAGUCAAGAGUUUAAAUGCCAAGCUCUAAGUUGAACAGCUGUUUGACCAGUUGUUGGGUAAACCUGAUCAAUUUUCUCCAUCUCCACCACUGCAAAGAAUUAUAAAUAUAGAGGACCUCCCUUUCAGAAUUCACGAAGUAUAUGAGGCUCUAAAAUGAUAUGUCAGCCCAAGGGAACUGAGUGUCUUAUUAUUAAAAGAUCAGAGCUGAAAUACUGUAGGCAAUGUGCCAGCCAGGUAGAGGACCUUCCUG
ensembl:lncRNA